rnacentral:lncRNA from 1 species
GGAAGGUAAAUUAUUAAAAUAACGCGCCUAAAGCAACUACGCGUUUUCGGCUUUGCAAGGGCCAUGGAGAAUUUGCUAAAUGGUGCACCUCGAUUCUAAGGAUAAACAAAAUUAAUUAAAUGAGGGUCAUGCAAUUGUCAUUUUUGUUUGGCACAGUGCACCUCAAUUCCAAUUUUAAAAAGAAAAUUCAAACUAAAGUUCGAAGGGCCAUAAGCCAUGUCUUGCCUAAUAUAGCACACCUCCAAUCUAUUUUUGAAAGCCCAAUGAAUUAAUUAGCCCAUUCUCAAACCCAACUUCAAUUUACUCCAAGAUCAUCCAACAGUCUAAAUCUAGUUCAAGACCAGUCACUAACACAAUUCAGUGAUAGCUGCUUGUAAGGAAUUACUGACUUCUUCAACCAAUUAGGCAUCAUCAAAGAAUUGUACCAAACCAACUAAUAACAACUGUAGCACAAAUGAAACCAACAGAUAUUUUUCAGAACCCAUUUCAAAUCCACUCCAGUUUGGAAACCAAAACCAAAGAACAAUUUAGUUUUCAGUAGGCAUCUGAGUUCGAGAUAAAAAACGAAGCGAAGAUCCACUCAAAAAAUCAUAAAUAUAGAGUCAGAAUCGAACGACAGAACCACCAUUUUUCUUCGAUCAAUUUUCUGCCCAGAUUUUCUCUUUUUUUCGUCUGUUCUUGAGUGUGUGCUGCUGCUUUCGGCGUGAGGGAGGCGGAGUGAGGUCCGGUGACUGUUGUUGUUGAAGCAGGCAAGUCGAUGGGAUGGGGGUCAUCUUUUGUGUCAACGGCAGGUCUAAAGUCUUAAGCUCCUUGGGGUCUCUCAUGGUUGAAGCUCAAGGUCAAAUGGUUAUUGGCAUUUUUGAGAAGAUGAGAUCGGGGGCGGAGGGGGGGGGUUCGUUUUGAAAGGCUGCGCAGCUUUUUUCUCUUUUCAAUCCUCCCAGCCUUAUUUUCCUCCUCCUCACUUUUGGCUAAUUAGCUUUCCUAUAUGUGGAGUCUAAGUUUAGGUUAUUAUUUGGUGUAUUUUGUUAGUUAGUUCUUAAAUUUUUUUAUAUUAAAUUUUUAGGAUUUUUUUAUUUAUUU